GGUAGAGCGUGUACUAUUUUUGUCCUCACCCACAUUCAUGUUUUUCUCCUUCACUGAUUCAACAAGCACAUAUAGAGCUGUGUGCCAGACUUGGCAUGAGGUGUUGAAGAUGCAGAGAUGAAGAAGCCACAGUCUCUGCCCUCAAGAAGCAUACAGUCAGCCUGCGCUCCUUAGUUCUGGGGUAGAGAAAGUGCUGGAGGUCUUUCCUGAGGACACGGUUCUCCCAGUUCCCUUUCCAGGGCUCGCUUCUCUCCUUCUCCCAGAGGGACAUCCUGAUGUGGCUCUUCUGUUGAUACAGGCCCCACACUGCUGACUCUGCUCCCCUGACCUGGGAGGUGAUGGCCUCCAACUCUGAGGUCCCCACAGACCAGCAUCCUCUAGUCAAUCCUUCCUAUCCCUGUCAGAGCCCACAAACCACCCACACCCUUUCCACAGGAUCAACCCAAGACCUCGCUUUACUGCCCACUAGCCACAUAGCUCCUGGGGAAGCCUUUCCCUGUCUCUCUCCAGUUGCACCCCAUCCUGUGUUCCUAAACCCUACUGAUUGGUCUUCUGGGCUCCCACUGUCCAUGUGGGUGAUGGGGAGGGACCUAACAUCGGUUGGGUAUGACUUGCAGACUUUGAAAUCUCCCUUCCCUCCUGGAAGCCCCUCUGAAAGUGUCUUUGACUUUCUCUACUUCCCACUUUGACCACCUUGAUGGAGAGAUCAGGAAGUGAAAUGAUGGGGGUGGCCAAUUCAUCCUGAUUUGUUUAGAUUUUCCCAGUUUUAACACUGAAAGUCCUCUAUCCUGAAAACCCUUCCGUUACAAGGAAACUCGGAUGGUUGGUCACCCUAAAUGGGUCAUCCAGGAGAAAUGGUGGGCCAGUGGAAGUGGUGAGUGGUUGGAGGGGUGGCUUUGAUUCUCUCCCAACUUGCUUUUAGAGUCCAUUGAAGAGAAGAAGAGAGCAGACAUUUGUCGGGAAACUCCUAACAUAUGCCCCCAUUCUGGAGAGAACACAGAGUACGACACAAUCCCUCACACUAAUGUGAGUCCCUUCUCAUCUUUCCUGAGAACUGAUCCUGUCUCUGAGGCUCUCCUUGUGAGGUUUUUCCAUGGGUUUGGACAACAUGGGAAUGAAGAGGGGAGUGAGGAUAUAUAGACUUAAAACUCAAUGCACCUGUGCCUCCUCCAAGUCUUCAUGGAUUCUCUUCUGGGCAGAAGAAGCUGGUGGUCUCUGGAGCACCUGGUUCUGACUCACGAUGCUCAUGCUGUGGUCUGUGAAAUCACCUGCUCCCCUCCACAGUUCAUAACGGCCACACAAAAGGCCAGAUUCCUUUUGCAUAAGGCAGUGGGUAGAAGAGUGUGACUUUGACAGGAUGUUUGAAUCAUGGUAUCAGAAGACUUCUCUAGAGAUCUCUCUCUCUCUCUCUCUCUCUCUCUCUCUAUAUAUAUAUAUAUAUAUAUAUAUAUAUACACACACACUAUAUAUAUUAUUAUAUAUAUAUAAUGUUUUUGAAAUUCAUUUAAACACAGUACAGUUUAAAAAUAAUGUAAUGGCUUCCUGAAAAAAGUUAUCAAAAUUUAUUAUAAUAGCAGUCACCAACAAGAGAACUUCCUACCUCCCUUCCCUGUUCCAGAACCCUCCUUUUCCUCUCACAUCUCCUCCCAUCUCUGCUUUCCCCUCUCUGGAUUCUGAAUGUCUCUCUGGCCUUGUCUAUGUGAUUCAGGAGGUGGGUGAUGAUUUCUUUUGUUUGUUGUUUGUUUUUAAUAGAGAACAAUCCUAAAGGAAGAUCCAGCAAAUACAGUUUACUCCACUGUGGAAAUACCAAAAAAGAUGGAAAAUCCCCACUCACUGCUCACGAUGCCAGACACACCAAGGCUAUUUGCCUAUGAGAAUGUUAUCUAGACAGCAGUGCACUCCCCUAAGUCUCUGCUCAAAAAAAAAAAAACAAUUCUCGGCCCAAAGAAAACAAUCAGAAGAAUUCACUGAUUUGACUAGAAACAUCAAGGAAGAAUGAAGAACGUUGACUUUUUUCCAGGAUAAACUAUCUCUGAUGCUUCUUUAGAUUUAAGAGUUCAUAAUUCCAUCCACUGCUGAGAAAUCUCCUCAAACCCAGAAGGUUUAACCACCUCAUCCCAAAAAUGGGAUUGUGAAUGUCAGCAAACCAUAAAAAAAGUGCUUAGAAGUGUUCCUAUAAAAAUGUAAAUGCAAGGUCACACAUAUUAAUGACAGCCUGUUGUAUUAAUGAUGGCUCCAGGUCAGUGUCUGGAGUUUCAUUCCAUCCCAGGGCUUGGAUGUCAGGAUUAUACCAAGAGUCUUGUUACCAGGAGGGCAAGAAGACCAAAACACACAGACAAGUCCAGCAGAAGCAGAUGCACCUGACAAAAAUGGAUGUAUUAAUUGGCUCUAUAAACUAUGUGCCCAGCACUAUGCUGAGCUUACACUAAUUGGUCAGACCUGCUGUCUGCCCUCAUGAAAUUGGCUCCAAAUGAAUGAACUACUUUCAUGAGCAGUUGUAGCAGGCCUGACCACAGAUUCCCAGAGGGCCAGGUGUGGAUCCACAGGACUUGAAGGUCAAAGUUCACAAAGAUGAAGAAUCAGGGUAGCUGACCAUGUUUGGCAGAUACUAUAAUGGAGACACAGAAGUGUGCAUGGCCCAAGGACAAGGACCUCCAGCCAGGCUUCAUUUAUGCACUUGUGCUGCAAAAGAAAAGUCUAGGUUUUAAGGCUGUGCCAGAACCCAUCCCAAUAAAGAGACCGAGUCUGAAGUCACAUUGUAAAUCUAGUGUAGGAGACUUGGAGUCAGGCGGUGAGACUGGUGGGGCACAGGGGGCGGUGGGUACUUGUAAACCUUUAAAGAUGGUUAAUUCAUUCAAUAGAUAUUUAUUAAGAACCUAUGCGGCCCGGCAUGGUGGCUCACACCUGUAAUCCCAGCACUUUGGGAGGCCAAGGUGGGUGGGUCAUCUGAGGUCAGGAGUUCAAGACCAGCCUGGCCAACAUGGUGAAACCCCAUCUCUACUAAAGAUACAAAAAUUUGCUGAGCGUGCUGGCGUGCACCUGUAAUCCCAGCUACUCGAGAGGCCAAGGCAUGAGAAUCACUUGAACCUGGGAGGUGGAGGUUGCAGUGAGCUGAGAUGGCACCACUGCACUCCGGCCUAGGCAACGAGAGCAAAACUCCAAUACAAACAAACAAACAAACAAACACCUGUGCUAGGUCAGUCUGGCACGUAAGAUGAACAUCCCUACCAACACAGAGCUCACCAUCUCUUAUACUUAAGUGAAAAACAUGGGGAAGGGGAAAGGGGAAUGGCUGCUUUUGAUAUGUUCCCUGACACAUAUCUUGAAUGGAGACCUCCCUACCAAGUGUUGAAAGUGUUGAAAAACUUAAUAACAAAUGCUCGUUGGGCAAGAAUGGGAUUGAGGAUUAUCUUCUCUCAGAAAGGCAUUGUGAAGGAAGUGAGCCAGAUCUCUCUCCCUACUGCAAAACCCUAUUGUAGUAAAAAAGUCUUCUUUACUAUCUUAAUAAAACAGAUAUUGUGAGAUUCACAUACAAAAA
rnacentral:sRNA from 1 species